UACGUAGGGCGCGAGCGUUGUCCGGAUUUAUUGGGCGUAAAGGGCUUGUAGGCGGCUUGUCACGUCGGAUGUGAAAACCCGUGGCUCAACUGCGGGCUUGCAUUCGAUACGGGCUGGCUAGAGUACGGCAGGGGAGACUGGAAUUCCUGGUGUAGCGGUGGAAUGCGCAGAUAUCAGGAGGAACACCGGUGGCGAAGGCGGGUCUCUGGGCCGUUACUGACGCUGAGGAGCGAAAGCGUGGGGAGCGAACAGG
rnacentral:rRNA from 1 species